AAGACUAUAGACCUGCGGAGUACCUGCGGAAGGAUCAUUAUUGAAUUAUGUUUCUAAAUGGGUUGUAGCUGGCUCGUCAGAGCAUGUGUACGCCUGUUUGGACUUCAUUUUCAUCCACCUGUGCACCUAUUGUAGUCUUUGGUUGGGUAUCAAGGAAGUGGUCAGCCUAUCAGCACUUGCUGGAUGUGAGGACUUGCAGUGUGAAAGCUUUGCUGUCCUUUACUUGAUCAUGGAGUUGUU
rnacentral:misc_RNA from 1 species